UUGUCUUUCUUACCCUUGGAUUCAUCUUUCUGUUUUGUUUCUUUAUCUGCCUUCUUCUUCUUUUCCUCUGUUCCUGAUUCAUCCUUCUCUUUCUUCUUCUUCUUUUUACCAUCUUCUUCCUCUAACUCCUCCUUUUCUUGUGAAACAUCCUCAUGUUUCUUCUCUUUAUCUUCCUUCUUCUUCUUUCCCUCUGAUCCUGAUUCAUCCUUCUCUUUCUUCUUCUUCUUUUUAUCAUCUUCUUCUUCUAACUCUUUUUCUUGUGAUACAUCCUCAUGUUUCUUCUCUUUAUCUUCCUUCUUCUUGUUUUGUUUUGAUCCUGAUUCAUCCUUCUCUUUCUUCUUCUUCUUUUUACCAUCUUCUUCUUCUAACUCCUCCUUUUGUUCUGAUACAUCC
rnacentral:lncRNA from 1 species